UUUGCUCUCAUUCUAUUUUUUUUCUUGUUUUCUUUUGCUUGUGUCGUCUUUGCCACCGUACACCAUCAUCACCACCCUUUGCACUACCUUCUGUACCACCUUGCGCCGCUCUCUUGCUUUUUUUCGUCAUCUAUAUUUUAUUCCCUCAUCUCAUCUCAUCUAUUUUAUUUUUCUUUCUUUUUCUAUUCUACCGCACCUAUCACUUCAUUUCCCUCCUCCUUAUGUCACCCUUUUUACACCAUCACCUCGUCGGGC
rnacentral:lncRNA from 1 species